AACCUGGGAGCCACAUCUGUUUUUUAAGACUAGAUAUCUCUUACCUAAAUGCUUAGGGCAGUUUCUUAAGAGAGCUAUGCUUACACAGACCUCUUGCUGGUAGCUGGUGCUACCAGCUGGGACUCCCAGGCUGUCCUCAAGCCAGGGGACAGACUGGGGACAUCCCACAGAGGGGUGCCAGGGAGGGGGAUGCCAGGCACAGCCCAAGUGACAACAGCCAGCACACAGAAAGCCCGCAGCUUUAUCAGGCUGCUCAAGGUUACAGCUUCUGUGCUGCAGCUCUGCACAAAAUAGGGAGAGUUCUUCAGCUGGGAAAUAUGCUUCUCUCUUUCACUGAGGUUUGUGUUUGGCCAAAAUGGAAAAACCAGGUACCUGCAGGCUAUUGGGAUAUGGUUACGCUGCCCAGAACCACCGGACAAAGCACUGGCAGUAUGAGGGUGUUUGCCCAGCUCAACCAGCAAGGCUCAGUGUGCUGAGCUCCAGUACUGCGUGUUAGACUUGCCAGGAGGCGAGGCAGAGAGGGCUGAGCGUGGGGAAACUUCUUUCCUGAGCAGCUCUUUCUGACUGACGUACUGAAACAGGAGUCCUGACAUGGAAGCUAUCAUGGCAUGAGGAUUACAGCUCCUGGAAACCAGCUGGCCUCCAAAGCUGGUGUGUAAAGCCACUAGCCCCACAGCCCACAGGGCAUACCUGUGGUGUAAGUGUGGCCCAGGACAGCCCUGCAGUUCCCUCCUCUCCCUGCAGAUUCGUGGGAGGAAAACCAUGAUGGGAGCUGGAGACAGGGUGUACAGAGCAGGAGGGAGGUGCCGCAACUGCAGGCACAGCCCGAGGAGCACAGAGGUCUGCCCAGGAAGGAAGAAGAGCUGCAAGCAGCUCAGCGAAGGUGGAGGAGGAAGCAGCUCUGACGGAAACUGUGACCUGGAUUCUUAGAUCACUGAAUUGCAGGAAGACUUGGCGUCUAAUUGAGCAGCCAGCAAAAAAAACCCAGUAGAAACUAAAUUAGAGCCUGAUGAGAAACUGGAAUUCCUUCAACCAGCAGCAAAGCUUUCUGGAAGGAGAAAAAGGAUGGCACUGAGAAAACAACUUUGAGGUCAAGCUGGACAACAGCAGAGGCUUUCCAAAGCACAGGGAAAGGAAUCUAGUUGAACCAGCAGAAAGCUUCUCAGCUGGACAAUAUACAGGAGCAGAUCCAGGAGGCAAACCUCAACAUGUGGCCAAGGCAGGUGGAGACAGUCACAGGGCCCUGGAAAUGCAAGGGACAAAGCAAUUGUCACCUAACUCUGUGGACACUCCUCCUACAUUACUAAGGCUGUGCAGCCUCAGUAAGUGGGAACUGGUCAUUCAGUAAUUAUAUAUCAUUAUUACAUGUAAUCAUA